rnacentral:tRNA from 1 species
GGGGCCGUAGCUCAAUGGGAGAGCGUUCGGAUUACCGACCCGAAAGGUUGCCGGUUCGAUCCCGGUCGGCUCCA